CUUGUAGUAAAUUGUAUGGCGCGUAAACAUAUUGCAGUGGAAUUUUUGUCUAUUUCACUUGUUUAUGGCGCAGAUAACUGAUUUUUAAAAAUCGAAGAACAAGUGCUAUAUCAUAUUGUUUAUUUGACGGCGGAAUGACGGUUAGAGAUUCAGAUAAUAGGGUCAGUAUACAUCUGGAAGUCAACGAGAGACUCGGCUAAGUGCCUAAGUCGGCUUUGAAAUACGAUAAAGAACCAGUUCAACGCCGCUGCAGAUAGGUAACUACCAUCUGACUGUGUUGGAGCAAUCAAGCGAUGGUACAAUACCUGUAAAAUUAGUGGUAAGUAGAUCCAUUUUAUAGCAUGUAUAUUUAUAGUGUAUUGUGCUCGCCUCGGUAUUGUGUCUGAUUUGUUUGAACACAUCUGGUGUGUGUAACUUAAUAUUUAUUAUAAACUGGAUUGUGCGUGACAAAAAAUAUAAGAACGUUUAUAAACACAAGCAUAUUCAUAGCCUAAUAAUUCGCAAUACUCAAAAUGAUUUUAAUUUUGUUUUUAAUAGAUAGCGUCAUAGCGAUAGGUGUAAUUGGCAAUUACGGGCUGUGGUUCUAUUGAUGGCUAUAGUUUUACUUGGAUGGGAAAACAGAAGAAAAUAAUUUCCAAC